ensembl:snRNA U6 U6 spliceosomal RNA
GUGCUUACUUUGGCAGCACAUAUACUGAAACUGGAAUAAUUCAGGGAAGAUUAGUAUGGCCCCUGUGCAAGGAUGACACAUGAAUUCAUGAAGCAUUCUAUAUUAAA